rnacentral:rRNA from 1 species
UACGUAGGUGACAAGCGUUGUCCGGAUUUACUGGGCGUAAAGAGCGCGCAGGCGGUCGAUCAAGUCGAGUGUGAAAGCCCCCCGGCUCAACUGGGGAGGGUCAUUCGAUACUGAUCGACUCGAAGGCAGGAGAGGGUAGUGGAAUUCCCCGGUGUAGUGGUGAAAUGCGUAGAUAUCGGGAGGAACACCAGUGGCGAAGGCGACUACCUGGCCUGUUCUUGACGCUGAGGCGCGAAAGCUAGGGGAGCAAACGGG